UCUUACAGACCUAUGAUUUUGUUUCUAUUUGAUAGUGGAACAUAUUGCUUUCAAUCUCUAUUUGAAUCCAGUGGAACGAGUGAGGAUGUUGCUCAUAUUAAGAAUUUGGAAAAUAUAAUUCAAGCUGACGAUAUGUUCAACAUUCAAUUCACUUCUGUACAACAGGGAUGCCAAAGGCAGUUGCACUUUUCCAUUUCUGCGUGAUUAAUAAUGUAAUUUUAGUUGGCAAUCGAAUUGAAUUUGAUCGAAGAGUUAGUUUUUAAUUGAAAUGUUAUUGAGUAGGGAAUGUACCAUAUUACUGUUAUGAAUAAAAUUGAAUGAAAAUAAUUCAUAGGUAUAAGAAA
rnacentral:lncRNA from 1 species